ACUCGCGUAGCUCAGUUGGAAGAGCAUUGGGCUAGUAUUCCAAAGGUCGCAGGUUCGAAUCCCGCCGUGGCCA
rnacentral:tRNA from 1 species